AUUUUAGAUUAUAUUAAUAUGAUUUUUUUAUUUUCUUCUGAAUAUUUUUGGACAAAUAGCAACUCCAUGAAGGUUAUUAUGUAACAAUAAUGCUAGGAAAUUAAGAGGGAUCCAACCAAAAUUUUGUCAACUCCUAUUGGAUUGGGACUCCGAAACCAACUUCACCUCAACAACAUCCAAAAUUCACCCAAGUAAAUAAAAUUAACCCUAACUAAACCCUUUCAUCUCUUUUCACCGUUUCACCAUAGCAGAACUCCAAAACCAUCCACGGCGCGUAGUGUCACACUACCAGGUUCAUCGCGUGACGUUUUCUCCGCCGUCAACAGACGCAACGCCUCCGUCCACCACGUGCGGACAACAGCCGACCUCCAAAGCUCGCUCCAGAACGUCGCAACGCUUCCAUCCCGUCAACGUGCUAACUGGUGCGCUAAUCGGAGUUUCGUCCAUCUCUACCGUAGCGACGUCGUGCCACCCAGGUGCAAGGAACAAGGGGGUUCUCCUUCUCACCAAGAGUGUGUCGCUAUUGGCAGCGCCAUUAAAGCCUCCAUGUUCUGCUCUGACAAACGCAGUAGGACGUCCCUUGCUCAAGCCUCGAAACCUCGCUUGAUAGAACUAAUUGGUUAAUGUUUAAUAAUUGGUGUUGAUUGAUGUAGGAUUUUAGUGGAUGAUACUUAUUGGAUGUUGCCUUUGAUUUGGGUAUAAUUAGAGAAUUGUUAGAUGUUGCUUCUGAUUUUAUCUGUAGGUUUUAUCAAAAGGAUUUGGGCAUGGUGUUUUAUAACUGUUUUUUGUGAAUUUUUGUGUUUUUAUAUGAACCAGGAAGUUGUAUUGGAAGCCUACUCAAGCAGCUUUGACAUCCAGUUUCUACCUUCUAACACAUAGCUUUGAGGCUAAGAACAUGUGGAUUUUUAUAACAAAUGUCAUGCACAAAUCAUGUUUUCAUUUUGCUAGAUGAUCUUUUCUAUUAUAUUUGCAUUCUUUAGGUGGGAACUAUUGAAUGUAUACAUUAACUGAAUUUGAUUCUCGGGAGACAAAAGUUGAUUUUCUAUUAUGCUUUAUGAUGUAGUGUUCUCUCACCUGCUUAAGGAUUGAACUUGGUUUGCAUAUUUUUUUUCCUUUAUUAUUAUUUGCUUCAAAAUAUAGUUUAAUAGGAUUGUGUCUUUGAUGUGCACAGCAAUUUCAUACUGAUUUAAGAAAUAAGCUAUAUGUUCACUAUUUAAACUUGAACUAAAUUGUUAACAUGUUUUUCCCACUACAUGAAUUCAUGUUUGUAUGGCUAGUUUAGUUUAUAGUAUCGGACUUGUUAGCCAACUUUAGACCCCAAUUAAUCUCAUUUCACUUAGAAUUGCUUGUGAACAAGUUGAAGACAAAUUUCAUUCACUCGAAUUUAUUUUAUUUUUUUAGGAAUAAAUAUGGGACUAUUUGAAAUGACAGAGUGAUAGCUUUAAUAUCCUAUAUAGUAAGUUAAGACCUGGUACUAUAAAGUUUUGAUAACAUAUGGACAUAAAAUUAAAAAAAAAAGAAUAAAAUAAAGUUGAGUUUUAACAUUGUGCAUAGAAAAACGAAAAUAACAAAUAUUAUGGGAAAAACAUAAAAUAACAAAUAAGAAAGAUGGGCAUGACAAAUCUUGUAGAAUUUACGCAUAAUAAAUAUAAUCCAUUAGACCAUUAUCUUUAAUCUUUCUUCUUUUUGUUUUUGAUGGGUAUUAUAGACAAUAACGAACGAUACUUGGUUAGUGUUGAAUAAUUGGUAUUAAUUGAUAUAGGGGUUUGGGCACCAUAGAUUAGACUUAUUGAAUGUUGCAUCUGAUUUGGGUAUGAUUAAGGAAUUGUUAGAUGUUGCUUCUGAUUUGGGUGUAUAUGCUAUUAUUUGAUUGGGGUUUUAUAUAGCAGCAAUAACAGUGUAUAAUUAAGGACUUGUUGGAUGUUGCUUCUGAUUUCAUCUACAGGUUUUAUUAAAGGAUUUGGGCAUGGUGUUAUGUAACUAUUUCUUGUGAACAAGCACCAGGGUUGUGUUGCCGAAAAGCCAAUCAAGAUGGGAAAAAAGGUAAAAUGAUAUUUACCGUUAUCGACAUGUCAUUCCACAUGAUCCUAUUUGUGACUUACAGCUACUGUUGCCAUUGACAAAAAGUAUUAGAGUCGCGAUACUCGCCCAGCUACAUUCAUGACAUGAUGAGCAAGCUAACUAAAAACAACGCCAUUGAGAAGCUUGCGGAGAUUGAUGAAAUCGGAUUCGGAUUCUUGGGGCUUGUUCCGAAUUGGUCUGUGAAGCAGGCCAUCAUAGUUCACCUGGCCGAAUCGUAUGAAGUUAAGACAAGAACUUUUAUACUCGACGUUGGGAACAUCCGCCUCAAUGCCGUUAAUCGGGCGGAAUUUCGUGGCGAUCCAUUUCCAACCCUGGAUGACAAAAAUCCGGCCCACGUGGCCAUCAAAAAGAGGUUCCAUAGAUGGAUAACAAAUGAACUCCGGGAUUUGGUUUAUAGCUGUCCUAUGGCAAGAAAUCAGAUGGGAUGGAGUUUAGGAGAUAUUUCCUACUGGUGGUAAUGAAAAUGUUCCUGUGCCCUACAACACAACAGAUAAUUUCGCCAUGGCACAUUUACCCCGUCUUGGAUAUUCUGAUCCCAGAAGAUUCAACUGGCCGUUGCAAACUCUAAAGUGGUUCGACACGACAGCCGAGAAGUAUAAGCUCAAAAGGAACAAAACUUGUGAGGGCAACAUAUUCGUCAUGCUGGUUCUCUAUUUUCAGCAGUUGUAAUAUGGUCAGCUUGACAACUGUCAUGAGCAUGAGUCAUGGCUUGCUGCGUGGAUCUCGGAAAGUCUAGAAAAUAAGGCGCAAUAUGUUAUUUCCGAGGGAUGCCUCUUGACUAGAAAGGGAAAAAGUAAAGACGUAGAAGGCCGAUCACCUCAAGCUAAAAAGAGAAAAGCAAAAAAAAAAACACAACAAAAGCAUGGAUGAAAAGCUUCGGUUGCGCCAGGGGGAAGCUCCGUCGAUAGAAAGAGCGAGCAGGAAGCAAUGGAAAGAUGACCAACUGGAAGCACAACAAAUCCACCUCCAACUAGAAAAUGCUCACGGCGGGCAGAGAGAUCGAAAACUAGCCUGAAAAUGAGUAUACGUUUAUGGUUGUGUAUGGAUUAAACUCUGGACUAGCUUAAGUAUUUUCAGAAGGUUGAUUUCAAUAUGAUUGGAUGUUUCUUUAAGUAAUAUAUUCGAUGUGCAUAAAACAAAUAAGCAGAUCAGCUACCAAGAAAAUAGGGGGUUAAAAAGGACCGACCACAUAGGUCCGACUCAAAAUCAUCUGAAGAAAAAGAUCUCCCAAUGAGCCCAGAUGAUGAUGAGGACAAUGAGCCUCUUGCUAAGAAGAGGAGCCGAUUGUUUCACCAGGGAGUUGACUAACAAAAAAGAAGUUUGGAGACCCCCGACGGCAACCUCAAUCAGGAAAACACACCUCAUGAAACAACUGACUCCAGGGUUCCCGAUGCAGGCACACUCUCCAUAACACUAGUACAACAUCAAGAAUGGGAAUUUGACGGGCAAAUUUUCUAUGCAAAACUCUUUUUUUGGGUCUAUUUUGCACGUUAGGGAAUUAGGAAAUGUACGCAUACAAAAUUUACUUUUCUCUAACAUUGGUUGAUUUUGAUGCAGUAAUCCUGAUUUCUUGUCAAUGCGAAACCUGGAGAGCAAAAGAAUAUGAGAAUACCUUGAGCAACUUCAAUACACAGAGCCCCUGUAGACCGUGAUGCCAACCACUCCAUCUUGCAGGACACUUAGUCCACUGAGCCACCGGAUUUCACCUGGAAUGACUCAGAUGGAAAAGAACCAUACCCAGUGUACUCUUAUAAAGGUGCAUCCGUUACUAAAAGGGCGAAAGCUCGACGAGGGUGAUGAAGAUCGAGUGCGACAAUGGGCUGUCAAUGUGUCGUUAGGGGAAGAGCAAGCUGUGGCAUUGUAUGAAGGAAGGCUACAUCUAGUAUUGCUCCGAGAAGACCUGUGCACAUUGCAACCCCGUCGUUGGGUCAACAGCAACGUAAGUAGAACAUACUAACACUUUGCUAGAAUGAAUGGAGUUCUUAAUAAAUAUAAUCUCUCAUAAAAUUGACCCUAACCAAUUAAAAUUGACCGUGCAGAUCAUUUAGUAGAUAUGUUUCACCUUUAAUGACUCGAAAUCAUCACGGUUUAAGGA